UAGCUCUGGUUCCUCUUAAGUCAUGCAUAAAUCUUUUGCCUUUUAGUAAAGAUUUUCAUGGAGUGGACCAUCAACAAGUUUGAUAUAUUUUUGUGAGCUUUGCUCUGGCAAAGUU